GCUGAGCUAGUGUUGUUCUCAAUCUAAGGGCCUUUCUAUUUUGGUUCAUGAGAGAUUUGGAUUCCUUGACGUCAACUGCUAGGGAUCGCAUCUCUACGCCCAUUGAUGAACGCUCCCGAAAACUUUUGAGUAGCCAGGUAUUCUAUCGCAUCUCUUUGUGGUUCAAAUGCUUGGGUCUUCUAGGUUUUUUGGUUGCAUGGCGAUGGUUGUUCUUACCAAUGUCUUUUUAUGUCCUGCUGUUAUUUCUGGGGCUAGGAAAGUGGCCAAUCAGUGGAGUUGAUUCUUCUGGGCAGGAGGUUGGUGGAUCUAGAUGGUAGUAAUUGUGGCAGUUUUUGUUCCCUUGGUCCGUGUUACAGAGGUGCCAGAGUUUGAAUUCUAAAGUUCGG
rnacentral:lncRNA from 1 species